rnacentral:tRNA from 1 species
GCAACCGUAGCUCAGAUGGGAGAGCAGUGGCAUAAAGCCUAUCGGUCGUGGGUUCGAGCCCCACCGGUUGCG